UACGUAGGGGGCAAGCGUUGUCCGGAUUUAUUGGGCGUAAAGAGCGUGUAGGCGGCCAGAUAGGUCCGUUGUGAAAACUGGAGGCUUAACCUCCAGCGGUCGAUGGAAACCAUCUGGCUAGAGUCCGGAAGAGGAGAGUGGAAUUCCUGGUGUAGCGGUGAAAUGCGCAGAUAUCAGGAAGAACACCGGUGGCGAAAGCGCUCUGCUAGGCCGCAACUGACACUGAGGGACGAAAGCUAGGGGAGCGAAUGGG
rnacentral:rRNA from 1 species